UUGAAAGGGAAACGAUUGAAGUCAGUCGUACCUGCGGGUAAUCAGCCUUUUGGGCAUGAUUCUGUGGAGCGUGAGGAGUUAAACGCCUUCAUGCCUGCAUAUUCGUGUACUUUGGGUGUACUUGCCUGUGUGGUUAGUUAGCAUCAAUUUUGGUUAUCAUAAAAUGGUUGGAGGAAUGUAGCUUCGAUUUCGAUUGAAGUGUUAUAGCCUUCGGCAGAUGUGAUGAUCGGGAUUGAGGAUUGCAACGGAUACCCUUCGGGGCUACCUGUCUGGUCUCUGAUCGUUGCUCUGGUGCCGAAAGCGUGCUUACGGUUAUCAAAGUCGAUGGUCAAUAGGUUAGAACGGGUUAAAUUCGUUAAGGAUGUUGACGUA
rnacentral:rRNA from 1 species